rnacentral:rRNA from 1 species
GACAGAGGUGCCAAGCGUUAGGCGGAAUCACUGGGCUUAAAGCGUGUGUAGGCGGAUCGUUAAGUACCUUGUGAAAUCCCACGGCUCAACCGUGGAACUGCUCGGUAUACUGGCGGUCUUGAGCCACCCUAGGGGCAACUGGAACAAGCGGUGGAGCGGUGAAAUGCGUAGAUAUCGCUUGGAACGCCAACGGUGAAACAGGUUGCUGGGGGGUGUGCUGACGCUGAGACACGAAAGCCAGGGGAGCGAACGGG